GGUCCUCUUCACAAGCUCCGCUCACUUUAAGUGGGACAGACAGCUCAAAGACUAAAGAGCUCUCUGUGUGCUGGCCUGAAACCACAGGCAUCGGGGUCACCGACAGGUCCUCAUCUGCUCAGACCAGACCAGACAAUGAGGAGGGGAGCGGCAUGGUGUGGUGCAGAGUACAUCGGUGUGUCGUGGAGCAGCCUCCAAUCUGGGACAUGGCCUUGGGCUGUAACUAAAUGAAAAAUGAAAGAGCACAGCAGCAGGGCCUUAAAUGUUUCCAAAUCUGAGACUGACUAAAUCGUGCUAAACAUAAAAACAUACACAGAGGAGACUUUAAGCAGAUCUCCCGCAGAACAGCACCCCAUGACCUGCUUUCAGGGCCUUGUUUUGGCUCAAGUCCAAACCCGGUCAGGUACACACCGAAGGCAAAUUCCCUACUAGCAGACUCCCUUUAUUUACCUUUCCAAUGCUGCUUUGUUUUCAGGAUUAAUCAGAGUGUAGCGUUCACAAGAAGAAUCCAUGACUGUAAUUGAAUGCAUUUUUAACUUCAAUAAACAACAUAUUUAGCAA